ACGGAGGGGGCUAGCGUUAUUCGGAAUUACUGGGCGUAAAGCGCACGUAGGCGGAUUAGAAAGUCAGAGGUGAAAUCCCAGGGCUCAACCUUGGAACUGCCUUUGAAACUCCUAGUCUUGAGGUCGAGAGAGGUGAGUGGAAUUCCGAGUGUAGAGGUGAAAUUCGUAGAUAUUCGGAGGAACACCAGUGGCGAAGGCGGCUCACUGGCUCGAUACUGACGCUGAGGUGCGAAAGCGUGGGGAGCAAACAG
rnacentral:rRNA from 1 species